rnacentral:rRNA from 1 species
UACGGAGGAUCCAAGCGUUAUCCGGAUUCAUUGGGUUUAAAGGGUGCGUAGGCGGAAUGAUAGGUCAGUGGUGAAAGCCUGUUGCUUAACAACAGAGCUGCCAUUGAUACUGUCAAUCUUGAGUACAUUUGAUGUGGGCGGAAUGUGUCAUGUAGCGGUGAAAUGCUUAGAUAUGACACAGAACACCGAUUGCGAAGGCAGCCCACAAAACUGUAACUGACGCUGAGGCGCGAAAGCGUGGGUAUCAAACAGG